UACCAGCACCCCGAGUGGUCGGGACGAUUAUUGGGCCUAAAGCAUCCGUAGCCGGUUCUGCAAGUCCCCCGUUAAAUCCAGCUGCUCAACAGAUGGGCCGCGGAGGAUACUCCAGAGCUAGGAGGCAGGAGAGGCAAGCGGUACUCAGUGGGUAGGGGUAAAAUCCGUUGAUCCAUUGAAGACCACCAGUGGCGAAGGCGGCUUGCCAGAAUGCGCUCGACGGUGAGGGAUGAAAGCUGGGGAGCAACCGG
rnacentral:rRNA from 1 species